rnacentral:misc_RNA from 1 species
UUAUCAACUGGAAAGAUAUUAUUACGAGGUUACUUUGGCCAUUAUCUUCAAAUAAUGGCCGUAACCACUUUUACCCGUAUAAUUUUAAUUAACGAUAGUGACGAUAACAAUAAAUCAAAAUCUCUUUAUAUAAUACGAAACUGGCUUUAUUUAAAACCGUCAUUUCACUUUAACUCACCAUUCAAUAUCCUUUGUUAUGGAAGCCACGCCAGGUAGCCCACAACUCCAAUCCUUCUAUCUAGUCUUGAAAAGCAUUGACCCGUUGAGUUGCGGAGAGAUAGAGACUGAGUAAAGAAGACAAAAAGGAAAAGAAAGGAAGCAUUGCGUUACUGCCACUGCCACCAAGAGGACGAUGAUUCCAAUCGUAAGCCAGAAGCUCAAACAGAGAGAGGAAGAGGAGGCAAAGGUAGGGAGCUUCCUACUCAAAUUGACAAAUAUUAAAG